rnacentral:lncRNA from 1 species
UAACUAGUGUGCAUGAUGGAUCUAUUUAAUGAUUAUUUGAUGUGAAAGAAAAUUUAGUUGCAAUGCAUGUUGAUAUCCAGGAAAUAGAUGGGUGAUGAAUUUAUGAUUGUGGUCAUGAUGCUAGGCAUGGUGUAUGAAUGAAUUGUAUGUGAGGAAGCAUGUGUGUGAGAUUUUGAGCUCCAGAGUUUUUAUUGUUGCAUGUAUUGUUCGCAGGAAAACAUGGAUGAUAUUGCCUUAAUCUUGAUGAUCGAUUGAAUUGCAUGUGAAUGUCAUAUGAUCAAGGCCAUUUUUGAAAACCCUUUUCU